CCUAUCGAUCCUUUAGACCUUCG
rnacentral:snRNA from 1 species